rnacentral:rRNA from 1 species
AGAGUUUGAUCAUGGCUCAGAUUGAACGCUGGCGGCAUGCCUUACACAUGCAAGUCGAACGGCAGCGCGGGCUUCGGCCUGGCGGCGAGUGGCGAACGGGUGAGUAAUAUAUCGGAACGUGCCCAAGAGUGGGGGAUAACUAGUCGAAAGAUUAGCUAAUACCGCAUACGAUCUACGGAUGAAAGUGGGGGAUCGCAAGACCUCAUGCUCCUGGAGCGGCCGAUAUCUGAUUAGCUAGUUGGUGGGGUAAAGGCCUACCAAGGCGACGAUCAGUAGCUGGUCUGAGAGGACGACCAGCCACACUGGGACUGAGACACGGCCCAGACUCCUACGGGAGGCAGCAGUGGGGAAUUUUGGACAAUGGGGGCAACCCUGAUCCAGCAAUGCCGCGUGUGUGAAGAAGGCCUUCGGGUUGUAAAGCACUUUUGUCAGGGAAGAAACGGUGAGGGCUAAUAUCCCUUGCUAAUGACGGUACCUGAAGAAUAAGCACCGGCUAACUACGUGCCAGCAGCCGCGGUAAUACGUAGGGUGCAAGCGUUAAUCGGAAUUACUGGGCGUAAAGCGUGCGCAGGCGGUUGUGUAAGUCAGAUGUGAAAUCCCCGGGCUCAACC